AUAUGGUUUUGCUUCCACGAGAGGCAUGGGUGUGCUUUCGCGAGAAGCAUGGCCGUGCCUCUUCGGGAAUGAAAAAAAACAUGUUUUCUUUUUUCUUUCUUUCUCGAGAGGCACGGUUGUGAUUUCGCGAGAGUCACGGGCGUGCCGUUUUUGGAAAGGGAAACAACCCGUGCUCCCGGUUCAGUUUUUUCGUCCGGCUUUUUCGUGAAUUUUUUUUUUCAUCAAAACCUAUCAACAUGGGAUCUAGUUUUAAAGAUCUCGACGCGAAGAAUCCAACGAUGAAAACGGUUCGAGAUUUGGACGCACGGUUUAAGAGAUAAAACGUUUUGAAUAAACGAAUCUACGAAAAAAAGAAAAACUUCCAGGUUGCAACAAGUGGUACACAUGCAACGCGCCACUUGUCGCAACCUGAGGAGGUGGGAGUGAUCUUUACAAUGAGUACUUCUCAACUAGUGAUUUCGUCCCUAAAAAAACUAGUGAUUUUGUAAAAACAAUUCUAGUUCUUUUAGACAAACGGGUUGUGCCUUGCCAGCAUGCGGGCCUGGCUCGCGGCCCUGGCACGGCCCCAGGCCCGGCCCAUUUAGCCACGUGCUGUGCCGGGCAGAGUCGAGGUGGCGAGGUCAUGAUUAGACCCGCCCUAUGUUGAAUCUCCGUCCCCGAGCUCGUCUCCCCGCCCAUGCCCAUCUCGCGCGACCACUCCGGCGCCACCGCGUGACCCCUCCUCCCGUAGCUCUGCCUCACUGUGCCAUGACGCAUCAUCGCCGGCUGCUGCGUGCGUUGAUGUCAUGAUGUGUGCUCGCACCGCGUGCGCGCAGGUGUCGUCGAGCUGGAUGGUGCACACCAGGUGUUCGAUCAAAUGCGUGCCCUUGGAGAUGCGCCAACUAAUCUCGUUUUCGGCCGUGGCUCCGUCAGCAUCGAGUACGGUAAUGGCGGCGCUUCGUGGGAGAAAAUCAAAAUAUAUUUGCUAUGUUUCUUAGGUACCUGUAUAUAGAGCGUGGCUUGCUGCACGGCGAAGAGACCGCAGAUCCAAUAGCUGGGGCGGAGUACUUACUGAGGUAGCCUUUGGGGAUCAGAUGCCUCUCCGGGUCUGGCGGAUGUGGCCGUUCAAGCACCCUACUGUAUCGCCCGCAUCCCCAGCCGGCUGUGCCGAACCAGCCGGUGGCCGUUGUGCGGUCUCCGGGCUCCGGGCACGAUACCGGACCGGCCUGCCGGUCCAGUUGUCCCUGAUCCGAACCGCUCUGUGGAUGCCUCUCUCAACGUGUCCCGGGUGGGUGGAAGCGCAGGCAGCACCAUCCAGCUGUACGCGAUGAAGAGUGGUCAUUGUAAACCGUGUACCUCCACUCGUGGCGGCAAUCAGGAGUUUUCCUCAAGGAGCGAAUUCUGCAAUCUGUACUCGUGGGAGUAUGGUGUUCGUAUCAGGAAAGUGUCACCAAAACGUCCCAGAGAUUGUUUGCAGUUGUGCAGGCAAGCCGGACAGGGAGAACAGUUCAUCCGCUAGAACAAAGUGCCCUGCGAUGCUAAGCCUGUUAAGGACGGAAGAUGGAGGCUGGUAUGGUAUUUAUGUGCGCACAGGGUGUUGCAUAACCAUGAACGCCUCGGAACUUGUGCGGAGAAGUUAAAUUAGCCCCACUGAUAGACGUUGCAAUCUUGAAGUCAGAAGUGCCUUCACGACCGGAGCAAGCGCCACCCGGACCAGACUGGCAUUUCACUUGAGAUGGUGUUGUGAUGACCUCCUGAAGUAUGGAUCUGCUUGCGCCCGUAUCGAGCGAUGGUCGAUGGCAGUGAUUAUGCGGAUUGCAGAACAUGUGUUUUCCUUAACUGUGCACACGCUAUGAUAUUUUCAAAGUAUUGCUGUGCACAAAUACAAAAGAGCAACUCUACGAGGCUUGGAUCACAUACCUUGUGUUGUAUCCUGCUGCUGGUUUCUGAAGAGAGGACGGCGCCCUUUCCUUGCGGUUGCACACUGCGCCAGCAAUCGGUAUGUGUGAGCUACAGAGGAGGCAUUGCGUUCAUAUGCUCCAUGUAAUUGCAAUGCAUGGGAUCAGCUGGUAGGUCUUUGUGGCCACAAUUUGGCCACUUGCGAGGGGACUUAUUACAACUUUGGGGCUGUCGGUGUCGCUGCAGGAGACGGAAACGUGCACGGCAACGGCAAGGGUAGGAGUGUGUGGGCGUGGGGACAUGCGGGAAAAGAUGAUGUGAGGAAGACAGCAUCAUGGCGGAUCACUUGCACCAAUAUAAAGAUACAUGUCGGUUUAGUGUCUUUUGACUUUGUGGAGAAUUUUUGUUUUAGCAGCUGAUCAUGUCAUAGCGCACCGCGUAACAAAAUACUUUGAAUACUGAUACAAAGGAGUUGCUAUCCUAUAUUUAUUUAUAAUUUCUAUAGUUGCAGCAA